AUGGAAAUAUCUCAGGUUCCUGAAGGAGGCUGUUGGCCCCUGUCGACACCAUACACCUUCAUAUUUUGUGGAGUGUUCCUGCACCAACAGCUUCUUACCAGCAAGUGUAAAAGGAGGGGAAAGGAGCUGGGUUGCUGUUGCUAUUCAACCAAGCAAGACCUUCUGUUUGGAGAACAAUCCAACAAGGAGAGACCAUGAGUGCAAGGCCAGAAGGAGCUUUUCUUAAUUUAAAGGGUUCAGAAAUGCUGGAAACUCACAGCCUUUCACUUCAGUGUUGCAGUAGCAGAGCUGACAGGUUUUAUGCAUCCUGGUGUACAAGCUGAGAAAUGUGACUUGUGAAGGUAGGGGGUGCUGGCAGCUGCUGGGGGUGCCUUGGUGUGUGUGCUUUGCCUGGUGAGGAAGGGACAGGUAAAGAUUUUGUGGUGUUUUAUCAAGAGACCUACCAGUGAAUUUGGUGUGAAAGCCAAAGCACUGCAUAACAGACAACUUUUCUUAGGAGCAAUAGUUUAUGGCCCAUCAUCUGAAACAAAGGUUUGUAUGUAAGUUCUUCAUAGUGUAGCAUUUCUUGGUUAAGCCAGAACAAGAAACGAUCAUGCUUUUUACCAGCUGGGGGGAAAAAACUCCAAAACUUCAGUAAAGUCACACAGCUCUCAAGAGAGGCAUUUCUGUACAGAAAACCAGCAGAUCUGUCCUAGAUUUAUGCCACAGGUAGUCAAAUGCCAGUCCUCAUUUAUUGCACUUAUUGAUUUAUGUGGUAUUUAUGUCUAAUCUGUGCUUGAUCUGUAACUUCACCUGUUUUUGUUAGUCCAGUGUUGUCCUUGCCAGUUCCCCAGCACUGAAGUGCUCUCCUUUCCUAGGAUUAGUGUGAAACUAACCUCUGCUUAGACUAGGGACUAAUUCACAGAAUUUAAAUUCACAAGAAUAGGUGCUAUUAAUUUUUGUGUACUGUGUAUUCUUCUAAUUCCUGAAUCUAUUUCUUACUGGAAAUUAUUUCUUUUUGUAGGUCAGUCUGUACAACUAUACCCACAGGGAUUAACAUACAUAGAAACCUAUAGCAGACUUCAGCUGCUGAUAUAUAUUAAAGCAGUCAUCAUCUCGAUGCAAUUAAAAAAAAGGUGCUGACAAGACCUAACUUACUUUACUGUUGUGUUUGUCUUCUAGUGUUUUCUAGUGUGAAUCAGUACAAAAAUCAAGUCCCUUCCCUGUUUUGCUGUAUCAGUCACUGGCAUUAUCAUAUUGAUGUACAAUGAAGCUGUAAACCAGGCUUGUCUAAUGAGAACAGUCAAAAAAGUAAGAUUAGCCUAUGCCACAGGAAGUUUAAUCACAUUUCUCAUCUUAUAUUCUCUGGGCUGAAUCUGAUCUCUAAGACCUUAAAAGGCAAUGUAAAAAAUGGCCACUAAAAAAAAAAGAAAAAAAUAAAACUUUCUGUAUGUUUGUGCA
rnacentral:lncRNA from 1 species